UUUUUUUUAUUAAUCUAGGCAAAAUUUUAUUAUCCCCGGGUGAACAGGGGUGGGGUGUUACACCGGGGUAGUCAACCAAUUAGAUUGUAGUAUGUUUGCUGCAUAAGAAAUAAUAUUUUAUAUCGCAGUUAAAGCGGGUAUCUAUCAUCUAUCUUUGCGGAGGUUAUAAUGAGGCAAUCAUUUUAUUCCGAGGGAACCGGCCGGGCAGAUUUGGUAAGUCAGAUUAUUUAUUUUAGAAAAAUAAUCAACUGCUACACACAAGAUUAUGUAUUACACAUGUAUCAUCUUACUGUAUAAUAGUAUUUGGAAGCCAGUUUAUUUUAAGGGGGAGCCAGCAUAUUUAUUACUAUUAUUUUCCUGACCAACACAUUUAUGUACGUGACCUGCCAGCUC
rnacentral:lncRNA from 1 species